UGGGGAAUUUUGGACAAUGGGCGCAAGCCUGAUCCAGCCAUGCCGCGUGUCUGAAGAAGGCCUUCGGGUUGUAAAGGACUUUUGUCAGGGAAGAAAAGGGCGGGGUUAAUACCCCUGUCUGAUGACGGUACCUGAAGAAUAAGCACCGGCUAACUACGUGCCAGCAGCCGCGGUAAUACGUAGGGUGCGAGCGUUAAUCGGAAUUACUGGGCGUAAAGCGGGCGCAGACGGUUACUUAAGCAGGAUGUGAAAUCCUCGGGCUCAACCUGGGAACUGCGUUCUGAACUGGGUGACUAGAGUGUGUCAGAGGGAGGUAGAAUUCCACGUGUAGCAGUGAAAUGCGUAGAGAUGUGGAGGAAUACCGAUGGCGAAGGCAGCCUCCUGGGAUAACACUGACGUUCAUGCCCGAAAGCGUGGGUAGCAAACA
rnacentral:rRNA from 1 species